AACGAACGCUGGCGGCAUGCCUAACACAUGCAAGUAGAACGAGACCUUCGGGUCUAGUGGCGCACGGGUGCGUAACGCGUGGGAACCUGCCUUUAGGUUCGGAAUAACUCAGAGAAAUUUGAGCUAAUACCGGAUGAUGUCUUCGGACCAAAGAUUUAUCGCCUUUAGAUGGGCCCGCGUUGGAUUAGCUAGUUGGUGGGGUAAAGGCCUACCAAGGCGACGAUCCAUAGCUGGUCUGAGAGGAUGAUCAGCCACACUGGGACUGAGACACGGCCCAGACUCCUACGGGAGGCAGCAGUGGGGAAUAUUGGACAAUGGGCGAAAGCCUGAUCCAGCAAUGCCGCGUGAGUGAUGAAGGCCUUAGGGUUGUAAAGCUCUUUUACCCGAGAUGAUAAUGACAGUAUCGGGAGAAUAAGCUCCGGCUAACUCCGUG
rnacentral:rRNA from 1 species